UUCCAUAUGAUACAGUAUUUUUUUUUUCUGAAUAAAAGACUGAAGACAGGGAGCUAGAUAAAUGGCUUCAUAGUGCUGUUAAGUAUUUGUAUUUAACAGUCUCUGUGUGACAGAUAAAAAUAGGAUGGAAACGAAUGAAACACCUGUCUAGGGGCAGCAAUUGACACUCUGCGGAGAGGGUAUUCCCUGCAAGUUCCCGGCUUGCCUGUGAUGGGGGAUGAGGUUUUUAGGGAGGUGGUAUACAGGGCGAUUUUUGGUGCCUUACUUUAUCUUAAUUUUUGCCAAUGUGAAAAUUAAGGAUAAAUCAGAGUUACAGCAGGGAUUUGACAAACAGGAAUAAAAAACAAAAACACAGGGUGGAUACAUAUGGUUUGGAAACUGUUAACUUUGAACUAUUGCGUUCAGCUUUUGAUUCGACACCUCUAUUCUUCCUUUAUUUUUGAUGCCCGGUUGCUUUGGGUUUGGCAUUUUUGGAUAGGGAUGGAGGACACAAUAGAGAGAGCUGUUAGCAACCAGCACUAGCUGCUUGAGCUUUUCUAUGGCAACGGUGUGUUGCUGGGGUCUGGGUUUUCUGG
rnacentral:lncRNA from 1 species